rnacentral:rRNA from 1 species
AGUGAACGCUGGCGGCGUGCCUAAUACAUGCAAGUCGAGCGAACAGAUGAGAAGCUUGCUUCUCUGAUGUUAGCGGCGGACGGGUGAGUAACACGUGGGUAACCUACCUAUAAGACUGGGAUAACUCCGGGAAACCGGGGCUAAUACCGGAUAAUAUUUUGAACCGCAUGGUUCAAUAGUGAAAGACGGUUUCGGCUGUCACUUAUAGAUGGACCCGCGCCGUAUUAGCUAGUUGGUAAGGUAACGGCUUACCAAGGCGACGAUACGUAGCCGACCUGAGAGGGUGAUCGGCCACACUGGAACUGAGACACGGUCCAGACUCCUACGGGAGGCAGCAGUAGGGAAUCUUCCGCAAUGGGCGAAAGCCUGACGGAGCAACGCCGCGUGAGUGAUGAAGGUCUUCGGAUCGUAAAACUCUGUUGUUAGGGAAGAGCAAAUUUGUUAGUAACUGAACAAGUCUUGACGGUACCUAACCAGAAAGCCACGGCUAACUACGUGCCAGCAGCCGCGGUAA